CAGCAGCAGCCGCGGGAAUACGAAGGGUGCAAGCGUUACUCGGAAUUACUGGGCGUAAAGCGUGCGUAGGUGGUGGUUUAAGUCCGUUGUGAAAGCCCUGGGCUCAACCUGGGAAUUGCAGUGGAUACUGGGUCACUAGAGUGUGGUAGAGGAUAGUGGAAUUUCCGGUGUAGCAGUGAAAUGCGUAGAGAUCGGAAGGAACAUCUGUGGCGAAGGCGACUAUCUGGGCCAACACUGACACUGAGGCACGAAAGCGUGGGGAGCAAACAGGAUUAGAUACCCCUGUAGUCCCUGUCUCUUAUAC
rnacentral:rRNA from 1 species